rnacentral:rRNA from 2 species
CCUGCGGAGGGAUCAUUACCGAGUUUACAACUCCCAAACCCCUGUGAACAUACCACUUGUUGCCUCGGCGGAUCAGCCCGCUCCCGGUAAAACGGGACGGCCCGCCAGAGGACCCCUAAACUCUGUUUCUAUAUGUGACUUCUGAGUAAAACCAUAAAUAAAUCAAAACUUUCAACAACGGAUCUCUUGGUUCUGGCAUCGAUGAAGAACGCAGCAAAAUGCGAUAAGUAAUGUGAAUUGCAGAAUUCAGUGAAUCAUCGAAUCUUUGAACGCACAUUGCGCCCGCCAGUAUUCUGGCGGGCAUGCCUGUUCGAGCGUCAUUUCAACCCUCAAGCACAGCUUGGUGUUGGGACUCGCGUUAAUUCGCGUUCCCCAAAUUGAUUGGCGGUCACGUCGAGCUUCCAUAGCGUAGUAGUAAAACCCUCGUUACUGGUAAUCGUCGCGGCCACGCCGUUAAACCCCAACUUCUGAAUGUUGACCUCGGAUCAGGUAGGAAUACCCGCUGAACUUAAGCAUAUC